rnacentral:rRNA from 1 species
AGAGUUUGUCCUGGCUCAGGACGAACGCUGGCGGCGUGCCUAAUACAUGCAAGUAGAACGCUGAGGACUGGUGCUUGCACUGGUCUAAGGAGUUGCGAACGGGUGAGUAACGCGUAGGUAACCUACCUCAUAGCGGGGGAUAACUAUUGGAAACGAUAGCUAAUACCGCAUGACAAUAGGGUACACAUGUACCCUAUUUAAAAGGGGCAAAUGCUUCACUAUGAGAUGGACCUGCGUUGUAUUAGCUAGUUGGUAAGGUAACGGCUUACCAAGGCGACGAUACAUAGCCGACCUGAGAGGGUGAUCGGCCACACUGGGACUGAGACACGGCCCAGACUCCUACGGGAGGCAGCAGUAGGGAAUCUUCGGCAAUGGGGGGAACCCUGACCGAGCAACGCCGCGUGAGUGAAGAAGGUUUUCGGAUCGUAAAGCUCUGUUGUUAGAGAAGAACGGUAAUGGGAGUGGAAAAUCCAUUACGUGACGGUAACUA